AGAACAGUGAAUAUUAGGAAAAGUACCGUGAAAUUGCGGAUAUUCUGGUGGAUCGGAUCGGGUACCAGCGGAAGUGAAUCAAGUGCGGCCGGAGCAGACCUGUUCCGGCCAAAAAAGUAAUAUUUUCAGCGGCAGUGGACACCAUUGAUGACAUGGAAGGAUGAAACAGACAGAAUCGGAAAACUUGUGCGACUUCUUCUCGGUGACCGAUCAAAGAUGAGUUUAUGUGCCGAUGGCAAACGGAGUCCUGAUACUAUUUCCAACAAACAAGUACAGCCGCAGAAGCAGCAACGGACGAUGAAAACGGCGACCACGGUGGCGAUCACCAAGUCGGAAUCGCUUCCCAAGUCGUGAAGGAGGAGGGAAUGUUCUAGCACUCACAGCUGCAGCACAGUCACGCGUAAGUCGGGUACAUAACGUUCGGGACAUUCCUACCGGAAGAGGUUGCUUCCAGCACCCAAGCUGUUUCGAAUAGGUGGAGCUAGAGAGCUGAUGCCCCGCACCAGCGGCAGUUCCAGGGCCAUCGAGAGUCAAUCCGAAGACGGAUGGAGACUUGAGCGCCAAGGUGGCGUACGAUUUCCUGUGCAAAAACAGCAAGCGGAAUCGUUUGGAAGCGACGGUGAAUAACUACCAAAAACAGCAAAUAUUUCUGCACGAGAAAGCCACCGUACAGCGGAGGUUCCUACGUGGAACUACUGGAGGAGCCGUCCAUCCCAGCUGAUAAGUGGCAUGAACAUCGUUACCAUUAUACCAGAGUGGAUAUAGUUUUACUAUUGUAUUGUUUAUGUUCAUAUCUAUAAAUAAAUAUUUGGUAGGGGGGGGGGGCGUGUCUAGGUGUCUAGUUUGGGACUGCAAAAUAUCCGAAAUUACACCGGGGUUCUUUACCAAAACGUUAGUAUUGUUAGCUAGGACUUUUGAAAAUACUAAUAGUCGCUAUGAAUUUUUCGCAGAUAAUCUUAGUAAUCAGAACUUGUAGUUAAAUGGGCCAAACAUGUCCUCUAAAAUCGCGAGGUGACGCAAAAUCCUCUUCCUUGAACUCGACACGCGAAGGUUCACCAAUUCCUCUCAAGUAACCCAAAAAAGGCCUUCUAUAACUACAACAUAAUUAGAAUUCAAUAAGUGAUGGCUUUCCACGUCGUUUCAAGUCGAGAGGUGGCGCAAAAAAAAAUAUGGCACAAAUGUCCCAAAUGGAGGAUAACGUGCCUCUGGAGCCGGCUUUCUUAAGACUUCUUUAAUUACUUCCGAGGUCCACGUGUGCUUCUUCAUUGAAAGAGAAGUUUCUAAGGUUCACCAUGUCCUCCCAGGUAGAGAGGUGUCGCAAAGUAUGGUCAAACUAACUAAGACUUCUGUAUUCAGUGGUCCAUUUUUUUGCUUCUUCACUCAAAGAGAAGUUUCUUAGGUUCACCAUGUCCUCUCAGGUGGCGAGGUGACGCAAAGUAUAAUCAAACUAAUAGGACUUCUGUAAUUACUUCAGAUGUCCUUGUGUGCUUCUUCACUCAAAGAGAAGUUUCUUAGGUUCACCAUGUCCUUCCAGGUAGCGAGCUAACGCAAAGUAUGGUCAAACUAACUAAGACUUCUGUAUUCAGAGGUCCAUGUGUACUUCUUUACUUUAAAUCAUAAUUUGUCUUUAACCCGGGAGCGGUCGUGUCGUGUACUGAGUACACGCACCAUAAAAAAUGCACGCUUUUGGUACAAAGCGUGAGCGUGGCGUCGUUGCAGGUAGUCAAAGACGCGACUGCUCGAGGGUUAACAAGGUUUACCAAGUCCUCUCAAAAUGUUUGGUGACAUGAAAUACGUUCAAGUAAAGAAUAUGCCACUUUUCCUAAAUAAAAUUUUACUGGUUCAUAAGAUAUUAUUUGAACUAAAUCAUAAUUUGUCUUUAACAAGGUUUACCAAGUCCUCUCAAAGUGUUUGGUGACACGAAAUACGUUCAAGUUAAAAAUAUGCCACUUUUCCUAAAGAAAA